UACGGAGGGUGCGAGCGUUGUCCGGAAUCAUUGGGCGUAAAGGGCGCGUAGGUGGCGCGACAAGCGUGCGGUGAAAGCUCGGGGCUUAACCCCGGGCGUGCAGUGGAUACGGGCUGGCUGGAGGCGGGCAGGGGAGAACGGAAUUCCCGGUGUAGCGGUGAAAUGCGCAGAUAUCGGGAGGAACACCGGUGGCGAAGGCGGUUCUCUGGGCCUGUACUGACGCUGAGGAGCGAAAGCGUGGGGAGCGAACAGG
rnacentral:rRNA from 1 species